GACGAACCGUGCAAACGUUAUUCGGAAUCACUGGGCUUAAAGGGCGCGUAGGCGGGCUCCCAAGUCGGUGGUGAAAUCUUUCGGCCCAACCGGAAAAGUGCCGCCGAUACUGGGAGUCUCGAGGGAGGUAGGGGUCGAUGGAACUUCCGGUGGAGCAGUGAAAUGCGUAGAUAUCGGAAGGAACGCCGGUGGCGAAAGCGAUCGACUGGACCUCUUCUGACGCUGAGGCGCGAAAGCCAGGGGAGCAAACGGG
rnacentral:rRNA from 1 species